rnacentral:rRNA from 1 species
CCUGGUAGUCCACCCCGUAAACGUUGGGAACUAGUUGUGGGGGCCUUUCCACGGUCUCCGUGACGCAGCUAACGCAUUAAGUUCCCCGCCUGGGGAGUACGGCCGCAAGGCUAAAACUCAAAGGAAUUGACGGGGACCCGCACAAGCGGCGGAGCAUGCGGAUUAAUUCGAUGCAACGCGAAGAACCUUACCAAGGCUUGACAUAUAGAGGAAAGUUCUGGAAACAGUUCCCCCGCAAGGUCUCUAUACAGGUGGUGCAUGGUUGUCGUCAGCUCGUGUCGUGAGAUGUUGGGUUAAGUCCCGCAACGAGCGCAACCCUCGUUCUAUGUUGCCAGCACGUAAUGGUGGGAACUCAUGGGAUACUGCCGGGGUCAACUCGGAGGAAGGUGGGGAUGACGUCAAAUCAUCAUGCCCCUUAUGUCUUGGGCUUCACGCAUGCUACAAUGGCCGGUACAAAGGGCUGCAAUACCGUGAGGUGGAGCGAAUCCCAAAAAGCCGGUCCCAGUUCGGAUUGAGGUCUGCAACUCGACCUCAUGAAGUCGGAGUCGCUAGUAAUCGCAGAUCAGCAACGCUGCGGUGAAUACGUUCCCGGGUCUUGUACACACCGCCCGUCAAGUCAUGAAAGUCGGUAACACCUGAAGCCGGUGGCCUAACCCUUGUGGA